AAGCCAAAUGAAGAUUAAGGAUUAAAAUCUCACGACGGUCGUCUGAAAACCACACCUUUUCGUAGGGUGUGUUAUACCUGAUGCAUUUAUAUCCUAUUUUUUCUGAUGGUU